rnacentral:rRNA from 1 species
GAAGUAAAAGUCGUAACAAGGUUUCCGUAGGUGAACCUGCGGAAGGAUCAUUACAUUUAGUAGCUUGCUACUGCUAAGAGGGUCUGUUAGGCUGUAUAGUAUUGCUACUGACGAGCAGCAUGAUCCUCUGAGUCAACCCUUGUCUUUGGUGUACCUACGUUUCCUCAGCGGGCACAACCCGCUGGCUGGACAAAAUUUAAACUCUUGAAUAUUCAAUCAGUGUCUGAGAAACUUAAUAAUUACAACUUUCAACAACGGAUCUCUUGGUUCUGGCAUCGAUGAAGAACGCAGCGAAAUGCGAUAAGUAGUGUGAAUUGCAGAAUUCAGUGAAUCAUCGAAUCUUUGAACGCACAUUGCGCCCCUUGGUAUUCCAUGGGGCAUGCCUGUCCGAGCGUCAUUUGUACCCUCAAGCUCUGCUUGGUGUUGGGUGUUUGUCUCUGCUUUUGCUUAGACUCACCUCAAAGGAAUUGGCAGCCAGUGUUUUGGCAUAGAAGUGCAGCACAUUUUGCACUUGUAGGUUAAAUACCAGCUUCCAGUAAGCCCCUUUACUUUUGACCUCGGAUCAGGUAGGGAUACCCGCUGAACUUAAGCAUAUCA